CGAACGGGAUGAGUCAUGUCUGGGGAAGCCGCCUGAAGGAGGGGGGGAUUUACUACUGGAAACCGGUAGAUUAUUUCCCAAUAACGUCGCAAGAACCAAAGAGGGGGGCCUUCGAAGCCUCUUCCAUCUGGAUGUGCCCAAAGGGGAUUAGAUAGUAGGUGGGGUAACGGCUCACCAAGGCGACGAUCCUUAACUGGUUUGAGAGGAUGACCAGCCACACUGGAACUGAGACACGGUCCAGACUCCUACGGGAGGCAGCAGUGGGGAAUAUUGCACAAUGGGCGCAAGCCUGAUGCAGCCAUGCCGCGUGUAUGAAGAAGGCCUUCGGGUUGUAAAGUACUUUCAGCGGGGAGGAAGGGAGUAAAGUUAAUACCUUUGCUCAUUGACGUUACCCGCAGAAGAAGCACCGGCUAACUCCGUGCCCGCAGCCGCGGUAAUACGGAGGGUGCAAGCGUUAAUUGGAAUUACUGGGCGUAAAGCGCACGCAGGCGGUUUGUUAAGUCAGAUGUGAAAUUCCCGGGCUCAACCUGGGAACUGCAUUUGAUACUGGCAAGCUUGAGUUUUGUAGAGGGGGGUAGAAUUCCAGGUGUAGCGGUGAAAUGCGUAGAGAUUUGGAGGAAUCCCGGUGGCGAAGGCGGCCCCCUGGACGCAGUAUGACGGUCCGGUGCGAAAGGGUGGGGAGGAAACCGGAUUAGAUUCCCUGGUAGUUCCACCCGUAAAUAGAGAUGACUUGGAUGUUGGGCCUUCAGGCGUGGGUAACGAGCUAACGCGUGAAUU
rnacentral:rRNA from 1 species